UGGCAAUGAUGACAAAAAGGCCGGUCUUACAGCUGCCACAGGAUCUCUUUAGUUGGUAGUAGAAUGAUGUGAGAUAUCUUAAAGGUGUUAACUGAGCCAU